UGAGCCCGAGUCUACCUCUUCUCUAAGUCGCCAGCUCGGCACUUGUACCCGGGACCUGUGCUCCUCCCACAAGGAAAAAAUUGGACACGGAGAUAAGGACAGAGGAAAGAUGAUGUGAAGACAGGGGCAGAAGUCAGCCAUCUACAAGUCAAAGGGAGACAUGUGGAACAGAUUCACCCUCACAGCCCUCAGAUGGAAGCAACACCACUAACACUUUGCUCUUGGACUUCUAGCUUCCAGAACUGAGAGACAAUAUCUUUCUGUUGCUUAAGUCAUUCUGUCUGUGAUACUGUGUUUAUGGCAGCCCUGGCAAACUAAUACAGUCCCACAAAGAUUUGGUUGUUGCUUUGCAAGAGAAUGUAUAAUUCCUGGUUAUUUCUACAAAUAAGGGCAUUGACUUUAUAAAGCUACAAGUAUACCCCAGUAUUCUGUUUCUGGUUUUUGUUUACUUUCAUAUAUGCUAUCUUUUCAUUCCCAGGUGAAAUCAUAGUGCAUUUUAAAUGAUAUUUUAAAGAGCAAUUAUACUCGUCAUAUGUACUUCAAAUAAUACUGAUUCCUCAAUUGAAGUAAUGGUAACAUGAGUGUAUUAGUUAAUUUUUUCUGAAUAACUAGUUACCUCCAAAGUUCAUGCCUUCAAGCAACACAUAUUCAUUAUUUCACAGCUUCUUUGGGUCAGGAGUCUUGGCAUAGCUUAGCUGAGUCCUCUGGCUCCUGGCGUCCCAGGCUGUAAUCAAGGUGGUGGCCAGGACUGUAGUCAUGUCAGGGCUCGCCAGGGAAGGAUCUGCCUCCAAGCUAACCAGUGUGGCUUUUGGCAGAAUAUAUUUCUAUGCAGGUUGUUGGACUGAGUUUCUUGCUGGCUGUUCCAGAGGUUCCCUUAGCAUCUUGUCGUGUGGCCUCUUCAUAGGUCAAUUCAUAUUGGCUUCAUCAAAGUGAGCAGGUAAGAUAGCAAAAGAGAAUGCCCAAGAUAGAAGCCAUAGUCUUUUUGUAAUCUAAUCUUAGAAGUGACAGCCUGUUAUAUUUGCUAUAUUCUCUUUGUUAGAAACAAGUUUCUAGGGCUGGGCAUGGUGGCUCACAUCUGUAAUCCCAGCAUUUUGGGAGGCCGAGACAGGCAGAUCACCUGAGGUCAGGAGUUCGAGACCAGCCUGGCCAACAUGGCGAAAUCCUGUCUCUACUAAAAAUACAAAGCCGAGUGUGGUGGCGCAGGCCUGUAAUCCCAGCUACUUGGGAGGCUAAGGCAGGAGAAGCACUUGAACCUGGGUGGUGGAGGUUGCAGUGAGCCAAGAUUGUGCCACUGCACUCCAGCCUGGGUGACAGAGUGAGACUCCAUCUCAAAAAACAAACAAACAAAAAACCAAAUUACUAGGUUUGUCUCAUUCUCAAGGGAAGAGUUUACUCAAGAGAAUAAAUACCAGGAGGUUGGGAUCACUGGAGGCCAGUUUAGAGUCUGCCUACCAAUAGGAGCAAGGCCAUCAAUGUCAGUCAGUGACAUCAACAUCAUGUAGACUGCUUGGCCAACAGUAAUGCUAAAAUGCCAUCAAUCUUGAGAUCAUCUUCAUCUCAUAAAUAUUAACAUGUAAAAAAAGUCAUUUUAAAGUAAAGAAAAUAUGUUAUUUUUUAACAUUUGAAACAGCCCCUGAAGUCAUGUUUUAGAACAUUUUCUCAUCAUUUUUUGUGUGACUUUUAUAAUAUCUUUUAUAUUAUAUGUUAUAAUAGGGAAUAAAGAAAGUAAAAUAACUCCAAAUCAAAUUUUGAGCACUUACCAAUUAUUAAAUCAUUUAAACAGUCAGGAAAUGGAUACUACUGUGUUCUAGAAAUGGGUACCAACUCUCAAAAUGUUUCACAUACUCAUGGAAAUAACAUGGCUUUAAUGGAAGGGCUUAGGGAGUUCUGCUUCAAGCUGGCUGAUCAGAAAAAGGAGAAGCCUCAGAAAGGAAGUGGGAUCUGUACAUGCACCCAGGAAGCACAGCUUUAGUGUCAAUGGAGAAGUUUCGAAUAGCAAAAUUCUCCACUGAACUUGCUGAAAGCACGAGAGGAGAAAGAAGCAUUUGCAGGCCCAGAUGAUACCUAAGAGAGGACUGUGCAUUGCUUUUCAACCUCCACAUGUCAGUACUCAAGGGAUAAGCUGAAUUUUAAAAAUUUACUUUUGUAUUUGUUUCAUUGUAUAUUACUACCUGUUCACUAUAGCUAAUUGGGAAACUUACAAAAAUUAGAAAUAAUAAGAUUCCUCUUUCCCCAAAGUCACCACUAUCCUGAAUUUUAAAACUAGAGCUUACUUUUGCAAUCUUGACACUUUAUUUCACUACCGUCAUAUAGUAUCCUUCUGUGUCUCAGUCCUUUUUCUUUUUUUGACAUUGUUAUGAAGUUCAUCCAUGUUGUUGCAUGGGCUAAGGCUCAUUUUUAUUGCUGAAUAAUGUCAUAUUGUAUGAAUGUACUAAAUAUUCUUAGUCAUCCUUCUGUUGAGGGUAUUUGUGCUGUUUCCAGUUAGGACUUUCACAAAUCAUGGUUUCAUGAACAUUCUUUGUGAUGGCUAAUAUCAGGUGUCAACUUGAUUAGAUUGAGGGAUGCCUAGAUGGCUGGUCAUUGUUUCUGGGUGUGUCUGUGAGGGUGUUGCCAGAGGAGAUUGAUAUUUGAGUCAGUGGACUGGGAGAGGAAGAUCUCAUGCUCCUCAAUGUGAGUGGGAACCAUCCAAUCCAUGGCCAGCAGUCCUCUCUCAGACAAAAACAAAGCAGGUGGAAGAAGGUGGGAUAAGUUGGCUUGCUGAGUCUUCUGGCUUUCAUCUUUCUCCUGUGCUGGAUCGUUUUUGUCCUUGGACAUCAGACUCCAUGUUCUUCCGCCGUUGGACUCUUGGACUUACAGCAGUAGUUUUGCUGGGGGCUUUUGGGCCUUUGGCCACAGACUGAAAACUGCACUGUCAGCUUCUUUGGUUUUGAGGCUUUUGGACUCAGACUGAGGCACUAUUGGCUUCUUUCUUCCCCAGUUUGCAGAAGUCAUAUUGUGGACUUUGCCUUGUGAUCGUGUGAGCCAAUUCUUCCUAAUAAACUCUCUUUCAUAUAUACAUAUAUCCUAUUAGUUCUGUUCCUCCAGAGAACCCUGACUAAUAUACUCAUAGAUAUGCUUUUUGGUACACGAUUUCAAGCAUAUAUUUGGUGUAAACCUAAGAGUGAGAUUGUCACAUCACAGGACUUUCAAAUGCUCAACUUGAAUGGUUAAUGUUGAACUGCUUUCCAAAGAAGUGAGGCCAACUCAUACCCUACCAGUCAUGUUUCUCUGUUUUUUUUUCAAAGAUUUUGGUAGUAUCAGUCUUUGCAAUAUUAGCCAUUUUGUUGAGUAGGUAGUAGUGUGUCAUUUUGGUUUUCACUGGAUUUUGUGAUGACAAAUGAAGUUGAACACUUUUACUUAGCUAUACUUUCAGUUUAGUUUACUUGUAAUUAGUUACAGUGUUUAAUGGCUGUUUGGGUCUCUUCUUUCAUGAAGUGCCUAUUCUUGUCUUUUGCCUAUUGUUUCCUAUUGGCUUGUUUGCAUUUUUGUUAGUGAUUUCUAAAAAGUCUCUAUAUAUUUGGGAUAAGUGGCUGUGACUCAGUUUUAUAACGUAUAAAAUAGAAAUAAUAAUGCUCCCCACAUAUGACAUUGUUAUGAGGAGUGUAUUAGUUAAUACACAGAAAAGCUUCAAGCCAAAUGUGGCACAGAGUAAGUGCUCAGUAUUAUUGUGCUUAGCCGAAAGAACACUGCUAAGAACUGUGGACACAGAAAUCCAAAGAGGCCUUCUAACUUCCAUUCAACACAUUUUGCCUUGCACAACAACUUCUCAGAAGUUCUGAAACUCACUAUACUUGCCCCUAAUUGUGCCCCAGUACUAGCUUUAGUGAGAAGUACUGUGAUAAUUUUGUUACAAUCCCAACACUAUUUUUUAAAAUUGUAUUUUUCCUUGUAGAAGAAGGCAGUUUUCAAGCUGCAAAUUGAUAGGGAAGCACUUAUUCUCACAGGCACUGCAUGGUACAAUUGGCAUUUAGCAUGUUCAUUGCAAAAGUUUUAAAAGAAUAGCACUGCAGCAGGAGAAAGAGGAAGACAACGACAAUAACAACAACAACAAAGCAAAGUAAAAACUACUCCCUGAAUGCAGAAAUAAAAUGUAUUAAAAAUUAAAGGGUGCACAAUGGGAGCAAUUAAGUGUUUUAGGCCAAGUGCCCAUUCUUGCCUCAUCCAAAUUCCCUUGGUUCACUGGCCACAUUUAAGAAAAAAGGGACAAUUUUUAUCUUCUGCCCUAGUGAAAAUUGUUUUGCUCCCAGUAGCCAGACAAUAAAAAUUUCCUAUAAACAAAUAAACACACUUUAAUCACCGUGGUUAUUCUCCUUCUAUCAGUGGAAUUUUCACAGAUAAAGUUUGUUGAGGAGGAUAGAAAAACCACAAUUUAGGCCUUUGAAACCAAAAAUGACAGAAAAAUCUUUCAUUUAUUAUUCCUCGUGGACAAUAGCUCUUAAUAUCUUCCUUCUAGGUUUCUUAAUUAAAUUCAGCUUCUUAUAUUUUUCUCUUGAUUCACCCACUUUCAUUCCCAGAUUAACCUAGAUCUUCAUAACUAUAAUUUCUCAACUGUAAAAUUUCAUUUACCUCAUUUAAAUUUCUGUAGAUUUCUCUCCCCAAGUGGAAAGUUUGAUUAUUCACUCUUUCACCUUUCUCCCCAGGCAAUAAAACUAUGCUGCUUAGACUAGUGCUAACUGAUUUAUAAACAGUCAAAUAAAUUGCAUUAUUCUGUAUAAUUCAUAUAUGUGUGAAUAUAGAGUGACUUUAGAAAGUGACAGUGAUAGUCCUAGCCUGUGAAGAAUGGCCACCAUCUUCAAAGAUCCUUCUGAAGCGUUAUCUUUUCCACACAAUCUCUGAUUUCUUCUUGGGGAAAGGACUAGUUUUCUCUUUCAAAUCCCCCAGCAUGUCUCCAAGGGCAUUAUAGUUGAUUAGUUCAUUUUUUCCUGAUCAUCUGCUCCCUGCAUCUCCAUAGAGGAUGAGACAUACCUGCCUCUUGCUAUAUGACUUUCAGUGGCCCCCUGUGCUUUUCUGUCACUGGUGCCAGGCUUGGCCAAGUGACAUUCUUCAGUCAACGGAAGGGGAGCAGAUUAGUUCCUUCUGAGAGGAAGUUUUCAAAGGCAUUAUAAGUUUUUACCAGCUUCAUUGCUCUUUUCCUGUGCCAAGUUCCUUCGGCUUGGUCCCAAGAAUGAGAAGGCACAUGGAACCAUGGGACCUGAGCUGUGGCCUCCUACAUGUGACAUGAGCAAGAAAGAAAUAUCUGAGGUUUGGGGGUCAUUGGUUACUUCAGCACUUAGCACUUUAUUGAAAUUGUUUGUUUGUUUGUCUUAUUCAAGGUGCAUUCAGGAAAUGCAUCUUCUUCGUUGGAUGUCUGCAUAGUCUGGAGCUUGGCAGUUGGUGGGAGCUAAUAAAUGUUUGUGGAAUAAGUGAAUGAUUCAAUGAAGAUCUCCAAUGAGAAGCAUCUAUUAUCUGCCAUGGCAAUUGUGCUGACUGGAGAAUGUUUCUUACCCUGAGCAGAAAUUGAAUCCUCCUGUACUUCCACUAUGGGUUUUAGUUAUAUCCCUUAGGCUCCUAUAAAACCGUCUAAUUCCUCAUCCAUAUGACAGCCCUCUAAUGCCUGAAAGCAGUGCUACUAUUCAUCUUAGGAUUUUAUCUUUGCAGAAUAGGUAUUCCCAGUCCUUAUCCAUUUUGGUAUCUCCCAUGGUUUUAAUGUCCUUGGUUUCCUGGGGGUCCUCUUUGCAGGUGCUCUUGAUGCAUGUCUCUCUUAGCACAUGGGAUCUGCAAUUAGCAUCAUUAUCCAUGUGUGGUCAGAGUAGCACAGGGUGAGGAAAGAGUGUCUCCUCCCUCUGUCUAGACAAAUUAUACUGAGUCUAACACAGCCUCCAGUUGCCUUCACUGGUCUUGGCAGCCCCAUCAUGCUGCUGACCCAUGUGGAGUCAACCAAAUCCCUUAAGUCUUUUCCAGGAGCCUUUAUUGUCAAGCUCUGCCUCAACUUGUGCAGGUGGUUUGGGGAAUCCAAAUGUAGAUCUUUAUACUUUUCCCUGUUUGCCUACUCCCCUCAUUUCAUCUAGUUACUGAUUUCUGUCUACAGUAUUUUGGGAAAUGAAGGCUUUGGUUUCUGGGAAAGGAAAUGCAGCAGGUAGUCCACACAAAGGAGAAACAACUGUGUCUUGUUAAUCCUGGUAUGGCUAGAGAGCUCCAUUUUCAGGUUCUGCAAUGUAUACUUCACUAUGUGAGGUAGCUCAUUUCUAGUACUGUACUGUCUUUGCUUGGUUUCUCAGGGGGAAUAGAAGAGUAGCAUCAAUAGCACACACCAACAAGAAGCUCUAUGUGUGACAUAUAGACUGACUGUAAGGUGUUCCCCAUAACCCCUGCUUCCCGGUAAUCAUGCUCUUUGAUUAUCCCCUUGGCUUGAGUAUAGACAUGUCCUGUAACUUGCUUCUAUCCAAUGGAAUAUGGCAAAGCCAAUGGGAUAUAUGUGAUUGCAUGUACAUAAUUAUAUUUGGUGUGAUUGUAACAUUGCUUCCUUGCUGGCUGUGAGGAGCAAGGUUCUAGGCUGUGAUCUGUUCCCUGGGAAGAGGCCACAUAGUCAGAAACUGAGGGCAACUUCUAGCUGACAGCUAGCAAGAAGCUAAGGCCCUCAACCUGACAGCUUGCCAGAAACAGGAUGCUAUCAACAACCAAAUGGGCCUGGAAAAUGAUGCUUUCCCAGUCCACCCUUGAAGUGAGGUUGCAGCACUGGCUGAUGCCUUGAUUGCAGCUUCCAGAUGAGACUCUGAGGCAGAUGAUUCAACAAAGCCAGGCCCGACUCCUGAUCCAUGGAAACUGUGAUAUA
rnacentral:lncRNA from 1 species